CAGGUCGGUCGGGCGGUCGCGGCCUUGCUUUGCAGGGCCGAGGAAAGUCCGCACUCCGUAGAGCGCGGCGUCGGGUAACACCCGGGGCGGAGAAGCCAUCUUCGGAUGGCGAAUCUGCCGGAUAGGGCCACAGAAACAAACAGCCCCGCAUCUCAACCUUUUCCCUGGGGAGAGUUUGAGAUGCGGGGUGAUGGUGAAAAGGUGGUGUAAGAGACCACCGGCGCGCGCAGUAAUGCGCGCGGCCAGGUAACCCCCGCCGGGAGCAAGGUCAAAUAGGAGCGAGAGACGGCUCGUCUCGUUUGAGCUCCGGGUAGACUGCUAGAGCGACGCGGUAACGUGCCGCCGAGAAAGAUGACCGUCCAUCCCCCUCGGGGAGGACAGAACGCGGCUUACAGACCGGCCUGAGGC
rnacentral:RNase_P_RNA from 3 species